rnacentral:lncRNA from 10 species
CAUUAUCUUAGGGACAAUGAGAUUUUAUAUUCAAAACAACAAAACCCACAGAAAGCUAAGAAUAAAGCAAAUAUAUUCUGCACUUUUUCCUCUUAAGUAUAAGAAAAUCAAGUUUAUGAAAUUAAAAUUAUUUAGGUCUAUGCAAUCAAUUUAAAUUUGAACAAAGCUAAUACAGUUAAGGAAAUUACAAGUAGUUUACAACAACUUUUUUUUUUUUUUGCUUACUAGGGUUGUUGGGUAAAACAAAAUGUUAAUCUUCAUUAGAAGGUUCAUGUAUAUUCAAAAUUUUCCAGAGUUUUCUUUCAACUAUAUUUUUAAGACGUUAAGUAGAAGACUUAAUCUUGUGGGUAACAUUAUGGACCAUGACAACCCUAUUCCUUAUAUUUCUUCAGGUACUGCUGGUGCUCAUUUAAACCCUAUAGGCUUAACUCUGAGCACUUUAAUUUGUUAUAUUUCAAUUUAAUCUGACUUUCCUUGGAAGAAGGUUUAGGAUUUUUGCUUGUGAUCUAAAAUUCUGAUAAGAAAGAGGAUUCUGCUACCUUUUCUUCUUGAGAUGUAAAGAAAGAGAACAGAUAGUGUAACUUCAGAAUAAUAGGAUCUUGGAGCAAGAAGGAGACUUAAAAAAAAGUAACUUAGACCAAUUCCCUUAUUAUAUUAAUGAGAAAAGUUGGGAGACUUAAGGUUCUAUUUCAAGUCAAUAUCAGAGUCAGGACCGGGGCUCAGUCUGUGGUUCAGAUGUGGGGGUGGCUCUUAAGGUGUGGGAAAAGUCUAGGGGUAGCUGGGUGAGUUGGGGUCUGCACCUGUGCAUACAAUCUUGUGUUUCUCUAUUUCUUCUGGAAAUUGCAUGCAAACAAAACACUUGAGAAUAUCUGCUUUACUGAGGGGUGUGAGGGAGAACUUUAUUAUUUAUUUCAAAAUUUUGAAUCCAUGUUUUAGGGUUCAUGCAUCUGUUUUCAGCAUUCCAUGCAAACUUUUAAAAUAUCUUAUUCUAUAUCCUUUUAACUGUUUUAAAGACAACAAAGCAAUAAACCACACAAACAACUAAACGUGUUAUAUACCAAAUGUUAACACAUUGGAGACUUCCAAUUCAUAGUUCUUUGCUGCUAAAUUAACUUACUUUUCUGCAGGUCUUUAAAUAAAGCAGGAGUCCCAAAGCAAGCGACAACAGGGACCAAGGAGGUAAGACAGCUGAAGACAGUGAGGACUUCUAUGAACUGGAGAGCACAGCCCCAUCUAAUCCAGGGAGCUGAUUGUUGCAGAUGCUGAGUCCUGCAGGAAGCUCUGAGAUGGCGCCUGUCUUUCUGGCGCGCCCGCAGGAAGAGGUUUCAGCUGAAACAGCCCGCGAGCUUCAUUCGAGCUCCACGUGGGGGCGAGACUCCGAGGAGAUGUCUGGUCGGAUGCUAUUGCCAUGAUCAACUCUCCUUAGUGUUUGCAAACCUCAAAGAAGAGGUUUUGAAGAAGUCUAGCUUCAGUAUCCACCCAUGCCCAUUAAGCCUCAUUUUCUGUUACAAAAAUGAGGUUAAUAACAGCAUCUAUUUAAAGGGUUGUGAGGAGUGAAUGAGAUUGCUGACCCAUGAAAAGUGCUCUGUAUGGUGCUUUCUCAAAAAAAUACUCAAAUGUUAGCUAUCAUUAUUACCCCUGCCGAAUGAGACAGGGAAUGGGAAGGUUCUGUAAAAUAAAGAGCAGCCUCAUGCCCACUCUCCUCGCACCCUCUAUGCUUCCUCUCAGCCGGUAGACUCGGUGUUUCUGCAAGCACAUCCUGGAAUUUCUCCCGUUUCUUCAGU